GCAACGCUGAGGGGAAACGAAUGUCUCUCCCCUUAUAUUCAUUUGAAAUGACGUAUUUCUCCCUUGUAAAAGGGAACCAGUAUAGGGGUCCUGUGUAAGAACCAGUAUAGGGGUCCUGUGUAAGAACCAGUAUAGGGGUCCUGUGUAAGAACCAGUAUAGGGAUCGGUGUUGGUUCUAACUGGUAUUGAAGGAGUACAGCUAGGAAUAAGCUACUUUUACAAUGUAUCCACCUACUGUUAAGAAGAAAUAUUAUUAAAAAAAACCCGGGAGCCAGCCUUUCCCUCAACCCUUAUUACAACAAUGAAGAUUCGACCGUCUCCGACGUCAAGUACCGGUUCCAGCUAAGGAUAGGCCAAGAAGUAUAGUAGCCUAGGCCUAUGAGGUUGAUUAAUGGAACCUGGUUACAGUACCCUGCAGUACGAGAGUUUCACAUCGCAACUUCAAAAACCCGUUCGUCGCUGCGGACGACUACAAUGUGAAGAGAAUAAGCACCAUCAUAGGUGAACAAGCUUAUUUCAUGGACCUCUUGGACCGACACCCGUAUCCCGUUGUUAAUCUCGUUUUUAAUGCGGAAUGCUCCGACGGAAUUGACUACAAAGGGACAUACUUCCGACAAUUACGACCGAAGAGGAUAUUCAACUCUACGUUCCUGGCGCAGGACUCGUGCUGGGGAUGAUUUUAUUCAUCGCGAACGUAUUCGUAUGGCAUAGGAUGCAGAGGAGAAGUAUGGGCGCAAAAUAGAACGUUGGACCCUGUCCAGGCAAUUCCCCCUUGUUUUUAACCAUUUGGAAUUAGCCAUUUCAUUUGGCUAUAGGUGGUUGUCUGGAACUGUGUAAUGGACGAAAAGUUGUUCGAACGCUAGUUAAAUGUGCAGUGGGUAUCACCUCGGUCAUGUAUCUCAUAUAUAAAGUAUCAGUAAAGGAAUCAGUAUAUGAAUCAAUAUUUUAUUUGAAGAAUAUAGAAGUUAAUCAAUGAAUCGAAAUAUAUCUGUGCGUGUACGCACUAGGAAUCUAUUUAAAGUGCACCUAGAUUAAUCACAGAAACUCUUGCUAAAAUCAGGCCUGGGCCUGUUGUUUCUGUUCCAGUGGCCAUUAUUCUUAUUAUUAUGAGGAUGGGGAGUUCCAUUCUGAGGAGUAGUGGCAGCUUGCUGAUGAGGAGCCUCCUUUAAGAAGCACUGCUCCGUGGUGUGCCCUUGUUUAUUGCAAUGCCCACACACAGGUUUCUGUGGAGGAUUACUGGAGCCACUGGGUUGACUGAGAGGUGGCAGGAGGAAUGAGAGGGAGAACAGGGUGAAUCUUCUUCUUCAGAGAACUCUGCAGCGGAUGGUGGGUGUCGAGGUCGCGCCCGAUUUACAUCACUCCAAAAUAGUUUUAGGAGCCUUGUCCACCAAGUGGAUGGCAAGAUCAGGGGGAGCGUAGGACAGAAAGUCCUCUAAUUGAAAGAGUUCUAAGACCUCCUCAGCGGAUGCGUUGGAGGAUUUUAGGAUUUUAGUUAUUUCUAGUUAUUAACUUGAGAUUCAUAGCCGGAAAAGUUUUCUGAAUGACUUUAUGUAUUUGCACCUUGAAUGCGUUGGACCGAAUGAAAGGUAUAGAGGCAUACAUUAAUAAUUUAGGUACGUCCAGUACAAGUUGACGUGGCUGAAAUUUAUCAAUUAGAAAGUUAUUCACAUAUUAAAAGACUAAGGCUGGAGGCUACGAAUGGUAUUUAAAAAACUGGAGUAAAAAUUGGACUUCGCUAUGGAAGUUAUGCCAGCUGGAAGAUAACAUAUAAGCACGGUGUAAUAGCGUGGAAAUACUAAUUAGUUUAAAUGUUAGAGAACAACUGCUAUAGAAGUUAGUACCUUGACCUGUGAACGUCCUUUUUCUAAAGACGCUCGUAUCAAAACCAUGUUCUGUCCUAGUAAUUAAAACAUCUAAAAAAGCAAGUUGGUUGUGAUGUUCAUGCUCAAUUGAGAAAUGUACCGGACGUACCUAAAUUAUUUAUGUAUGCCUCUAUUCCUUUCAUUCAGUCCAACGCAUUUAAGGUGCA